GCCGGGCGCGGUGGUGCGCGCCUAUAGUCCCAGAUACUCGGGAAGCUGAGGCUGGAGGAUCGCUUGAGCCCAGGAGUUCUGGGCUGUAGUGCGCUAUGCCGAUCGGGUGUCCGCACUAAGUUCAGCAUCAAUAUGGUGACCUCCCGGGAGCGGGGGGCCACCAGGUUGCCUAAGGAGGGGUGAACCGGCCCAGGUCAGAGACGGGGCAGGUCAAAGCUCCCGUGCUGAUCAGUAGUGGGAUUGCGCCUGUGAAUAGCCACUGCACUCCAUCCAGCCUGGGCAACAUAGCGAGACCCCAUCUCUG
rnacentral:SRP_RNA from 1 species